ACUAUAGGGGAACAGAGGAACUAUAGGGGAGCAGGUUAACUAUAGGGGAACAGAGGAACUAUAGGGGAACAGAGGAACUAUAGGGGAGCAGAGGAACUAUAGGGGAAUAGAGGAACUAUAGGGGAGCAGAUUAACUAUAGGGGAGCAGUUGAACUAUAGGGAGCAGAGGAACUAUAGGGGAGAAGAUGAACUAUAGGGGACUAGAUUAACUAUAGGGGAACAGAGGAACUAUAGGGGAAUAGAGGAACUAUAGGGGAGCAGAUUAACUAUAGGGGAACAGAGGAACUAUAGGGGAGAAGGUUAACUAUAGGGGAACAGAGGUACUAUAGCGGAGCAGAGGAACUAUAGGGGAGCAGAGGAACUAUAGGGGAGCAGAGGAACUAUAGGGAGUAGAGGAACUAUAGGGGAGCAGAGGAACUAUAGGGGAACAGAGGAACUAUAGGGGAACAGAGGAACUAUAGGGGAACAGAGGAACUAUAGGGGAGCAGAUGAACUAUAGGGAGCAGAGAAACAAUAGGGGAACAGAGGAACUAUAGGGGAGCAGAGGAACUAUAGGGGAGCAGAGGAACUAUAGGGGAGCAGAUUAACUAUAGGGGAGCAGAGGAACUAUAGGGGAACAGAGGAACUAUAGGGAGCAGAGAAACAAUAGGGGAGCAGAGGAACUAUAGGGGAACAGAGGAACUAUAGGGGAACAGAGGAACUAUAGGGGACUAGAUGAACUAUAGGGGAACAGAGGAACUAUAGGGGAGCAGAGGAACUAUAGGGGAGCAGAGGAACUAUAGGGGAGCAGAGGAACUAUAAGGGACAGGAUUAACUAUAGGGGAACAGAGGAACUAUAGGGGAGCAGAGGAACUAUAGGGGAGCAGAUUAACUAUAGGGGAACAGAGGAACUAUAGGGGAACAGAGGAACUACAGGGGAGCAGAUUAACUAUAGGGGAACAGAGGAACUAUAGGGGAACAGAGGAACUAUAGGGGAGCAGAGGAACUAUAGGGGAGCAGAGGAACUAUAGGGGAACAGAGGAACUAUAGGGGAACAGAGGAACUAUAGGGGAGCAGAUUAACUAUAGGGGAACAGAGGAACUAUAGGGGAGAAGGUUAACUAUAGGGGAACAGAGGUACUAUAGCGGAGCAGAGGAACUAUAGGGGAGCAGAGGAACUAUAGGGGAGCAGAGGAACUAUAGGGAGUAGAGGAACUAUAGGGGAGCAGAGGAACUAUAGGGGAACAGAGGAACU
rnacentral:lncRNA from 1 species